AUGCAACUCUAAGAGGGUGGUAAAUUCCAUCCAAGGCUCAAUACAAGCAAGAGACUGAUAUUGAAUAAGUUCUAUGAGGGAAAGAUGAAAAGGACUUUGAAAAAAGAGUUAAAGAGUGCUUUAAAUUGCUGGAAGGGAAGUGGAUGGAGGCCGUAGGUGUGCCCUGAUCAGAUGUGGAUUAGCUUGGGCUAGUAUGCUGCUUGACGCGGAGUGCUAGCUAGCAUGGACUGGUACAAUGGGAGAAGUGCGGGACUCGGUGCGCCCACCGACACCGCUGUGCUAGCCGAGGGAAGGAAUGCAUACCACUCAUGGUGGGCUACAUGUAGCACUUGCGUGCUCAGGAUGCUGGCACUAGAGAUUUCCAUCCAGCCCAUCUUGAAACACGAACCAAGGAGUCUAACAUGUAUGUGAGUUGGUGGGUGGCAAACCCAUAGAGGUAUAAGCAACCUAAGAAAUGGAAUCCCCCUGAGGGGUGCACCAUCGACCAACCAAGAUCUUCUGAUAAAGGUUUGAGUAGGAGCAUGCCUAUUGGGACCUAAAAGAUGGUGAACUAUGCCUGACCAGGGUGAAGCCAAAGGAAACUCUGGUGUAGGAUCGCAGUGAUACUAACGUGAAAAUCAUUAGUCAGACUUAGGUAUAGGGGUGAAAGACUAAUCCAACCAUCUAGUACCUAGUUCCCUUCAAAGUUUCCCUCAGGAUAGUUGGAGCUCAUGUAGUUUUAUCAGGUAAAGUGAAUGAUUAGAAGGAUUGGGGGUGAAACACCCUUGACCUAUUCUCAAAAUUUAAAUUGGUAAGCGGCCAUAGUUGCUCAGUUGAACCCCGGUGCGGAUUGAGAGCUCCAAGUGGGCCAUUUUUGGUAAGUAGAGCUAGCGAUGUGGGAUAAACCGAAAGACAGGUUACGGUGCCCAACUACAUGCUGACCUAGAUCCCACAAAGGGUGUUGAUUGAUUAAAAUAGCAAGACGGUGGUCAUGGAAGUCAAAAUCUACUAAGGAGUGUGUAACAACUCACCUGCCAAAUCAACUAGCCCCAAAAAUGGAUGGUACUAAAGUGCGCAACCUAUACCUGGCCAUCGGGGUAAGUUUGAUGCCCCAAUGAGUAGGAGAGUGUGGGGGCUAUGGCAAAGCUCUGGAUGCAAGCUCAAGUGAAAUGGCCCCCAGUGCAGAUCUUGGUGGUAGUAGCAAAUAUUCAAAUGAGAACUUUGAAGACUGAAGUGGAGAAAGGUUCCAUGUGAAAUGCAAUUGGACAUGGGUUAGUCGAUCGUAAGAGAUGGGGAAGUCCUAUGCCAAGGACGCACUGCACACCGUGCAUCGAAAGGGAAUCGGGUCAAUAUUCCCAAACUCGGACAUGGAGCUAGAUGACAACGUAAAUGAAUCUGGAGAUGCCAGCAGGGGCCUCAAGAAGAGUUCUCGUUUAUUUUUAAUAGCCUACCCACCUUGAAAUCAGAUUACCUGGAGAUAGGGUCCAAUGGUUAGUAAAGCACCACACAUCUCGUGGUGUCUAGUGCACCCUUGGCAGCUCGUGAAAAUCCAGAGGAGUGAUUACCAACCUCACCUGAUCAUACUCAUAACCUAAUUAGGUCUCCAAGGUGAGUAGCCUCUAGUCGAUAGAGCAAUGUAGGUAAGGGAAGUUGAUAAAAUGGAUCCCUAACUUCGGGAAAAGGAUUGGCUCUGAGGGCUAUGCCUAGGAGUCUAUGCCUGGACUUUGUAGGUUAUUAGUAGUGUACCUAAGCUGCUCACAUGGCGAGGGCAGACCGCCACAUGCCGACCAGGAAAAGGGUGUAGAACGCCCCCCGGGGCUCUCCCUAAGAAGUGAACAACUGACUCAGAAUUGGUAUGGAAAAGGGGAAUCUAAAUGUUUAAUUAAAACAAAGCAUUGUGAUGGUCUUGGUAGAUGUUGACACAAUGUGAUUCCUACCCAGUGCUUUAAAUGUCAAAGUGAAGAAAUUCAACCAAGUGUGGGUCAACAGUGAGAGUAACUAUGACUCUCUUAAGGUAGCCAAAUGCCUCGUCAUCUAAUUAGUGACAUGUAUGAAUGGAUUAAAGAGAUUCCCAUUAUCCCUAUCUACUAUCUAGCAAAACCACAACCAAGGGAACAUGCUUGGAAGAAUCAGUGACGAAAGAAGACCCUAUCAAGCUUGACUCUAGUCUAACUUUGUGAAAUGACUUGAGAGGUGUAGAAUAAGCGGGAGCCUUAGGCGCAAGUGAAAUACCAUUAUUUUAAAUGUUAUUUUACUAUCUCCAUGAGGUGGAGUUGGGGUUCGACCCCUGCUUCUAGUCUUAAGGCCCACGCCCAUGGGCCAAUCCAGUGAAUGUCAUUGUUAGGUGGGGAGUUUGGCUGGGGUGACACAUCUGUUAAAAGAUAAUGCAGGUGUCCAAAGAUGAGCUCAACGAGAAUAGAAAUCUCAUGUGGAAUAAAAGGGUAACAACUCAUUUGAUUCUGAUUUUUAAUACGAAUAUGAGUUAUGAAAACACUGCCUAUCAAUCCUUUAAUGUUUCAAGUUUUGAAGCUAGAGGUGUCAAAAAAGUUUCCAGAGGGAUAGCUGGCUUGUGGUAGCCAAGCGUUCAUAGUGACGUUGCUUUUUGAUCCUUCGAUGUCAGCUCUUCCUAUCAUUGUGAAGUAGAAUUCACCAAGUGUUGGAAUGUUCAAGCACCAAUAGGGAACGUGAGUUGGGUUUAGACCAUCAUGAGACAUGUUAGUUUUACCCUACUGAUGAGCAGUGCCACAAUAGUAAUUCAACAUAGUAUGAGAGGAACCAUUGAUUCACAUAAUUGGUCAUUGCGCUUGGUUGAAAAGCCAAUGCCACAAAGCUACCAUGUGUAGGA
rnacentral:rRNA from 1 species